ensembl:lncRNA
ACUCGUUAACGAGGCUGCGGCGCCAUCUCCUGGAACGGUUGCCUCAAAAACCAGAUUUAUCGGCAAGCAGGUAGUUUAGCCCUACAGCUGUGUAUCACAGCAGCACUCCUAGCUACUCGGCUAUAUUCUCAGUGCAUCCUGAAAGUGUCCUUCGGUGCCAUGAGGCAUAUAUUUUUAUUACGGGAGGUCGCACUCAUUGUUGUAGGUGUAUUAACACUGUUUGUGACCUACCCCGCUGAGCGGGACUGUACCCAGUAGUACCACACAUCACCACACGCAUUUCUAGAGUUGUCAGAUCUAUCCAUCCGACAGCUAUAUUUCUCUAUACAGCUACAGGGUUAAAUACUUCAGCUAUCUAAAAACAUUUCUUUCAGUAAAAUGUUUCCGGGCAUGAUAUUUGAGGCUGUUCCUUAAAAAGAGGUGAAACCACCGUUGUUUUUAUGAUCUAAUCAAUGUAAUAUAAUGAUCCCAGGGCCUCAGGUCUCCCUCAGGAGAAAUGGCAGUUUCUGUAGACACGGAAAUGUUAUCCCUAAAACUGUCAAAUGAGUAAUAGGAGGCUAAUACUGUGUACACAGUGCAGCAUCUUGCUUUUGAGCAGAAAAAUAACCUUCAGCACUGUGCUGUAUUUACCAAUAUACAAUAGCGUAUUUACUAACGGAGCCUGGCGGAAACGUCUGUAUUUUCCUUUAACAAAGGGCACUGAUGAGCAAUGAAGACAGACUUCACCAAGCAGGCUGUUCUUCAGCCACGCCAUCAACCAGCUGUAAGAAAGGAUUCAUCAAAGGUGCUCCUGACGCUCUUCUCAAGUACUGUGCUUUUAAUAACCCCAUUUCCACUGCUUCGUCAAAGAAAUAACCGGCCUCAAAACGGGGCACGUUAGCUCUGACAUCUUUUUAGUCAAACAUUAUUCUGCGUGCAGUCCUCAGACAUUUCCUAGGGCUUCUCUGUUGCUGUAACAUUCGCUUUGCCAGAAAUUAAUUCUGUUUUCAUUGCUAUAGGCUGAACUCUGGAUGAAACUACAGAAGAGUACGCAAGAUUUAAUCGAGGCAAGCAAGACUGGGUUUGCAGUGACAUAAAACAAACAAACAUUUGCAGUAGAAGAUGUCAAUGGUGGUGUACAAGCCUGAAGUACGUGUGUUUGAACAUUUCUCUGGUAAACAAAUAGUGCAGCAGCACACAGUGUUGUGACAUUUAAGACCAACUUUGUAAAAUAAAUACUUAAAUC